CUUUUCACAGCUGUUGGAGAGAAAAACGAAUGGCCAGAACUUGAGAAUUUCUGUGGAAACCAAAUACUGGACAGUGAGGAAAAAACUUUAUUCUUGAUGCAGUUAUAUAUCAUACAAAAUAUGUCACAGUCAUUUGAGACCAUCACAUAUGACAUAAUUGAUCCAAGCCUUGGCCUUUUUUCUGUGUUUACCUGUGCUUCUAGUUGGGAAGGCCACAGCUCAGUGAAAACAGUCACGUAAUCACACACCACGGUUCCUGCUGCUUUGCAGGAACAAUUUUGGACCACUUUGGGCUAAAUAAGACAUUCAUGAAAACAUGAUGAUGUGAUUGAUGAUAACACCAAGAAACAAGUUUACUGGAUGUGAGUCUUUAUCAUCUUUGGAGUAAAUGUGAGACUACUGUUCAGCCUAGUCUUUCUGAUCCAGGGGAAGAAGGCAAGUGGGUGUUUGAACUAAUACUGUUCUUUAAGACACAGAAAAUAUUAUUUAGAGAAGAAACACAGAUUGACUAAUAGAAAAGAAGAAAUAACCCUCUUGUUUCCUUAGUGGUACUGGACUUAAAGUUGCAGAGGGAUAUUAAUAAAGUAUUGAAAAAUAUGCCAUAUAAAUCCUCAUAAUUUUUUGAUCAGAGCUUACUUAUUUUUUUAUAGCCUAUUUAAGUCAUAAAUUAAUAAUGACAGAUUGAUAUAACCCAUCCAUGUAUACAUACAGACCUUUUUACCCAGUCAACAGAAAGGCUACAGAGAACUUGAGCAGUAUCAAGAGAGAUGGAUGCCUUCACAGAAGACAUACAGGGAACUGGCUAUCUUUGGAGCAGGCUGUUUGCUGCAGACAGUGACUGAGAGCCCAAGAACUGGACAGAAGACAGAGACACAGAUAUAUGUUCCACGUGAUGUAUGUCUGUCCAGACCCUAUGCAAGCUGUCCAAGACAAAAGGAUCAGCUUAGAGUUAUAACAAUUUCUAUACAAAAAUAUUUUUAGACCCUGGCAUAAAAUAAUACACUGUUUUUUUAAAAAAAUAAAUAUUUUUAGUGUGGAAAUAUUGAAAUUGGAUAUCCAAAUAUGUCAUCAGGAUUGGUUGUAAAUGGUAGAAAGUGUGUCAUGACUAAUUCUUUCUGGAUGCUUCUGGAGGCUUUCAUUUCUUUUCAGUCAUGUUUUUGUAUUUAUUAGGUACCCAACUGCUAAACUGUUUCAGCAAAGUGUUUGCCUUAGCAAAGUGAUAGUGGCUAUGGUAGAUGCAGAAAAGAAAGAUAAGGCUGUGUUAAUUAAUAGAAGGAAAAAAAAAUAAAGGUUAAGCAUAAUCACUGUCUUCUGUUAAGAGAAAAACAUGCUGUGUGUUGAAGCACAGCUUGGAAGCACUGAACCAAGUCAAUCAAUAUAUUCAUGAGGAAGAACAAGUAAGCUAGUAAAAAUCAGUAUUUCACCAUCUUCCUUGGCUUCCUCUGCUCCUCAAAGCUCUGUAAGACAAACCUGCUUGCCUGGAGUUGGAGCAGAGUUAGAUGGGAGCACUGAGAUUUCUAAUCUGCUUCUAAAAUACAUGUAUCUGUUUCUAGAAGGUAUUUAUUUGUUUUCUUAGUAUUUUGUGGAAAUCUCUGUUCACUAGACCUGAGGAUCUGAGGAUCUAGUAAAUUCAGAAACAAGGUGUGAGAGUAGAGCUUCAAAGUGGUGUGAAUUAUGCUGUUAUUUCACUGCUCUAUUUCAAUUUUCAGCAAAGUGCCAUCUGUUACUUGAAAUCAUAUGGAGUAUACUACGAGGGAAAAUUUAGAGGCUUUCCAUCCACCGUGUUAGAGUAGCAUCCUUUGGAACCUUAAAAACUGUGACAAUGAAAGUUUGAGUUUUAGUAUUGUUCCUUCUAGGAUUGCACAUUUUUUAAAUGUGAGGCGAUUUUGGAUUUCCUGGCUUUUGUCUGAAAAUACUUUAA